GUUGAAACAACAAGAAUUAGAGUUUCUGGCAAAAUAUAUUGACCUAAGAUCACUUAGCUUCAUUGUUAGGUCACUAAUCUCCAUCCUAGAUAAAUGAAUGACAGCCAUGGCAUGAGAAAGCUCUUCCUUUAUGGCAUCCAUCAGCUUCUUAAGUGAUUUCGCUGCUGUUUUGAAAGCCUACAAAUGGUACCCACAAAAAAAAAAAAAU
rnacentral:misc_RNA from 1 species